GUCUUCGACUAUGUAUGAUUUGUGAUCUUAUGAUGUAUCGUCAAAAGAAAUCGGUUCGGAUAAACAAAAAUUGAAUUUGACAUACCGAUCGCAUUUUUAUCAACAGCUAGUUAAAUAGUAUUGACAAUAAAUAAUACUGCACGUGUUAGCCAUGUAAAAAUAUGAUGGAUAAAUGUAAUUCAAAGAUAAAAAUGAUAAUAGUAUUGUAAAAUUUUAGUCGUUAAAUCCGCGUAUACUCAUAUCCUAAACGUCUCUACAAGAUUGGUGAACACAGAGUUUAUAUUAUUAAGUGUUAUUACAUCAAAAGGUACGCAGACAACAAAACUGGUCUGUGCAUCGUUGUUGGUCAUCCAUCAUUUGAUUUUCCUACAAAAGUACACAUGUAUAUUAAUGUUUAUAUAUAUACAUAUAAAUUCAUCAAAACAGAAUAUCAUUUACAGCAGCCUUUUGAUAAUUUAUCAUCAUAAAUUCAGACUGAGUGUCAUCGUUAAGCCUAAAAAUAAUUCUUUUUGAUGUAAGUAAAAUAAUUUUUUUUGCUCGGGCUCGAAAACUUUUAAAAAAAUGUCAAAUACGCAAAAAGGAAAGUGACACUAUAAUAUUCCUUAGUUUUCCAUAUUUACAAAAAAAACAUUAUAUUUGAUAAGAAAUAAUAGUAUUUGGGUCAAUCACUUGUCGGAAAAACUCAUUUUAAUUAGUUUAAAAAUGUUUUGUGUUACUCAGUAAGUUUUAUUUAUCGCUUUUGUAUCUAUUAAAUUUAUCAAACCCGACAAGAAAACAGGAGUGGUAUUGUAUAGCUGCGAAUGUAUAGAUUAAAUCGAAAAUGCUAUAGAAUGAUCUUAUUUAAAUAAGAUAAUUACGAAAAAAAUAUGUAUAUAAUGACGAAGCCAGUUUGAUAAUCAAUCUCUACUGAUAGCAUUUAUGUCAAAGUACUAUUCAUCGUGGAAAGUGUUUCAAAUAAAUAGUAAAGAAAUGUUAUUAUACAGAGUGUUCAGUAAGUAAGGAAACAGGUCAGCUAUUCACGGAAAAAAAUCAUUAUUGUAAACGGUCAAAAAUUAUAUGGUUAAGGAAGAACCAUAUUUAGCAAAACCGAAGAUCUUAGUCGAUUAUUCUUGCAAGUACGUUUAGUUGGAAUAACUGAAUCGAUCCGGUUGGGAAUUGGAGUAGUAUUAAUCUAUUGAAAUAUAAUAGCCAUAAUAUAUGUACAGCUGUUAAUAAUGAAUCUAUAACUCAGUUGUAAACCAAUGAAACCAUUAAAACGUAAAAUAGCGUUAAGCGCUGGUUAUUGUGUUUAAAUGGUAUUAUGAUUUAUAAAAUUUAAGCUGUGCUAAAAUUGCGCUUUCGGUUGUGACGAAGACAUAUAUUUGAAGAUGUUAUGUGAUCGUAUGGCGCGAACAUCUGUUCGAGGUUGGGUUGGAUUGUCCCGUGGUUUUGUUUCCUGGUCAGCUGAAAAUUCGCCCAUAGUUAUCUUACGCGGAAGCUUACAAAGACAACAAAUGGGACUACCGAUAAAUAACAAUUUUACACUUAUUGUUAUAUGAGCAUUGAAAAAGACAAUUCCGAUUUAAAAUCAAUGAAUAAUUAUUUAUAUUAGACUAUUUAAUUAAAUAUUAAUAAAAAUAAUAAAUUUAA